rnacentral:rRNA from 1 species
UAAUACGUAGGGGGCUAGCGUUGUCCGGAAUCAUUGGGCGUAAAGCGCGCGUAGGCGGCCAGAUAAGUCCGGUGUGAAAGUCACAGGCUCAACCUGUGAAUGCCGCUGGAAACUGUCUGGCUUGAGUCCGGAAGGGGCGAGUGGAAUUCCUGGUGUAGCGGUGAAAUGCGCAGAUAUCAGGAGGAACACCAAUGGCGAAGGCAGCUCGCUGGAACGGUACUGACGCUGAGGCGCGAAAGCGUGGGGAGCAAACAGGAUUAGAUACCCUGGUAGUCCACGCCCUAAACGAUGUCAACUGGUUGUCGGGGAAGUAAUUCCUUGGUAACGAAGCUAACGCGUGAAGUUGACCGCCUGGGGAGUACGGCCGCAAGGCUA